rnacentral:ncRNA from 1 species
UCAAAGGCUGUGAAGGGAAGUAGUAAAUAGAAUAGUUUUUUAAGAGAGUCGGCGGUUGGUGCAAGCUGAUAUAACUACCUAUUGAAUCCGUCCUAGAGUCAUUAAGCUGAAAAAUUAUUAGGCUUAAUCGGUUAGCAACCGUUAAUAUGCUAAGAGCUGGACUAUUUUAGUCAAUCAGGGUGGCAACGCGGGAAAAUAUCUCUCGUCCCUAUG